rnacentral:rRNA from 1 species
AACGAACGCUGGCGGCAGGCUUAACACAUGCAAGUCGGGCGCCCCGCAAGGGGAGCGGCAGACGGGUGAGUAACGCGUGGGAACGUGCCCUUUGCUACGGAAUAGCUCCGGGAAACUGGAAUUAAUACCGUAUGAGCCCUACGGGGGAAAGAUUUAUCGGCAAAGGAUCGGCCCGCGUUGGAUUAGCUAGUUGGUGGGGUAAAGGCCUACCAAGGCGACGAUCCAUAGCUGGUCUGAGAGGAUGAUCAGCCACAUUGGGACUGAGACACGGCCCAAAAUCCUACGGGAGGCAGCAGUGGGGAAUAUUGGACAAUGGGCGCAAGCCUGAUCCAGCCAUGCCGCGUGAGUGAUGAAGGCCUUAGGGUUGUAAAGCUCUUUCACCGGAGAAGAUAAUGACGGUAUCCGGAGAAGAAGCCCCGGCUAACUUCGUGCCAGCCGCCGCGGUAACAC